CUUUCCUCCCCAGCUUGCUUCUUGGUCAUGAUGUUUGUGCAGGAAUAGAGACCCUGACUAAGACAGUGGUGGAGUAUCCAGACCAUCAUUUACUUCUUACAAUGUGAUGGGGUUAGAAAUUCUUAUUAUUUCAGUUUGUUUUGUUUUUGAGACAGGGUUUCCCUGUGUAGCCCUAGCUGUCCUGGAACUUACUCUGUAGACCAGGCUGGCAUCAAACUCAGAGAUCCACCUGCCUCUACCUCCGAAGUGCUUGGGACCAAGGGCAUGUGCCACCACCACCUGGCUAUUUCAGUUUUAGUGAUAAGGAAUUUGGGGGCUUACAUAAUUUUAAUAACGUUCAGAUUUCUAUUGUCUUUCUCAGCAGGCUGGCAUAAGAGUGGACUUCACAGGCUGAAGGGAGAUUUAUUCUUCUCUAAAUGCAUUUAUUAUCCCUUCUACCUCUUUGUUUCUAAAUAGAUCUUUCUAGAUUCUGAGUAGUUCUCUUUGAUUUGCCGUUCUCGCCUGAAAUGAAAAUGUUACAGUUUUCCUUAAAUGCAGAAUUUAUGCCAGAGCGCAAGUAUAACAACAUCAAGGGAGCUGCUGCCGGAUUGAAGGCCCCGCAUUCUCUUCCCCCUUUCCUGAGUUUUACCCGCGUUUCUCUCAGCCUGUCAGAUUCACUCUCCAGCAUCUCACAUGGAGUUGACA
rnacentral:lncRNA from 1 species